rnacentral:lncRNA from 1 species
GUUCCCGGCGCCUGCCCCGCCCCGUCCUCCGCUCCCCACAGCCGGAGCCGGAGCCGGAGGAAGCCCCCCAGUGCCAAGAUCUGCCCCGGAUCCAGUUUUCCCGUGUAUCUCUCGAGAGAGUGGAAGACGCGUUUUUGAUUCCUGGAGUCUCUACUUUUUGAGGCCUCGAUUCGCAGAGCCUUAAUUCUUCUUGCACCUUAUGCCCAGUUGGAUCCUCACAG